GGGGGGGGGGGGGGGAACAAGUAAGACAGAGAAAACACGCACUCACUCUCUCUAUAUCUAUCUCUGUGAUAUGCGGCUUCUAAUUUGAUUUUUUAUUUUUAAUGGUAAAAACUUUUCUUGUUUGUUUCUUAAUCUUUUAUUUGUGACGGUUGAUUGAUGAAUUAUGGAAUUUGAUGGGGGAACAAAUAAUGACAAAAGCAAUUAAGCAGACGGACAGCCACGUUUCGCUCUCUGUCCUAACGAAAAGUAUAGAAACGUUUCAGAUUUUCCUUUUGGUUCUGGCGUUGGAGUUUUCGCGUGACGCGACACGUGUCUAUUCCCACUUUUAGUAUUUUAAGAGACACACGUCACAUGAAUUUAGAAAAAAAAAAAAAACAAAACAAAUGUAAGUCUUGUUGUCUCUCUAUCACACCCUCAAAACAAUUUUUUUCUUCGUGUAAAAAGAAAAAUUAUUUUUGAUAAAAUGAUUGAAAAUUUUUUUUUGAUAAAAUAAUAUAUAUUGUUCAAUGGAAUCUAAAAUUAAACAAAAUACAGAGAACGUUAUUAGGUUUGGCCUAAUAAUAUAUAUUUUCGAGAUAAUCUUAAUAAAUUAAUUAACAAGCCCACACAGAAGCCUAAUUUUUUUUAAAAAAAAAAUCACGGGAAUAUCCUAUAAUUAAGGAAAUUUAAACUCUCAAUUUGAUGGAAUUAACAAGCCCACACAAACUCAUUUGUAGAGUUGUCGGCUUACUGAAAGCACAUGCUCCAACUUGAAAUCAAACGCGAGGUACGAAAGAGUGAAACACCAGAAAGUUGAAAUUCAACAAUCAAACAGAAUUAGAAAGUUCGAGGAUGACUUUCAAGCCACGUGUAGCCAAUCAGAUGAGAGUCGAGUUUUCAAAUCAAUCUGAUAGGAGUUUAGGCUAGAGUUAGGUCAGUCAGCUCCACAAUUAAUUUCCAUUAUUCAGUACCGAGUUUUAUUAACUGUCAAGUCAACCGUCAAGCUUUCGGCCAUGGAUUGCUGGGCCCAUUAUUAAAAAAUAAUAAUAAUCUAAUUCACUCAAAAUACUCAUCAAAUUUAUUGACCAAGGAAAAAUUUAGUUUGUUAAUUAUCAUGGAUUAAAUUUCCAUAAUUUUUUUUAUAGGGAAGUAUAAUUUUUUAUUAAUUCAACAUAAUGAAUACGUAUUUGAUUUUUGUUGCUAAUAAAUUUAGCCAAACAAUUGUUUCACAACAACUAUCUACAAUUAACUUAACUAAAGAAUGGAUAAUUACAAAACUUAAUUUGUUAUUUAUCAUAUAUUGGAUUAAAUCAACAUAAUUGGGUGAGUUUUGAACAACAAAAAACUUUCAUCAAUUUAGAAAUUGCAAGCAGAUGGAAAGAGAUCUCCCUAUCUUACCACUAAUGUAAGAUAUACCCCUCACAUGAACAGUGAAUGGAUCCCACAUAUAUACUGUUCAUGUAAAGGAGAUGUAUUUUACAUUAAUUGUAAGAUAAUGCUUCUCGAUGGAAAGUAGCUCAUUUGUUUUUCUAAUCUAACAGAAUUAACGUUGUCAAGGUACACAUGGUUAUCAUAAUGUUUUAAUAUGAGUCAAUAAUUUUGUACUUGAUAUUAUAUUAUCAUGACCCCUUUUAUGUGUGCUAUGAUUUUAUGGGAUCCACCACAUUCUUUAACAAACAGGCGAUCAUAACUAAAUCACUAUACAAACAAAAAAGUUGAAAAUUUUAUUAAUUUUCGCAAUUUGUUAACAUGGACGAUCGGGUAGCCCCUUUAAAAACAGACGGCAAAAGUCCUCUUACAAAACAAUAAUCUCAAUACAAAGUGGAAUCACACAUCACAAUAAUCUAAAAAUAUAUAUAUUUAAAAAAAAAAACUUGGUGAGUCAGUCACCUUUUGCUCGGCAUUGAUGGGCUUAAAAUUGUGAAGCCCAUUGAUGGUGAGGAACCGAGUUCACGUCUCAAUGAACUGAUCAUAUUACAUAGGGAUGGCAAUGGGGAGAGGAGGGGAGGGGACCAAUCUCCUCGUACUCAUUUUCGAUAUUUUACGUAUAUUCUCGUCCUCUCCCCGUCCCCGUCAGAAUUACUUGAGAGAAUCUAUAUCCUCUCCCCGAAUAAUAACAAGGGAUCCUCGAGGGUCCCCGAUCCCCGAAUAACUAAUAAAUAUUUUUUUUUGUUUUCGAUUUUGAGUUAAUCAUAUUAAAAUAAAAAAUUCAAAUAAAAGUAAAGUUUAAAAUAUAUCUUACAUUAAUAUCCAUUACAAAAGUCACAUACAUUAAAUUAGUAAGUAACGCAGCAUGCAAGGGAUACAAACUUCUUUUAUAAACUAUCAUGAAUAAAUUAAUAGUCUAAUACAAAAUUGUUACAAAUAAAAUCGAAUUUAGAUUCAAAAUUAACUUUUUCAAUGGUGGCGUGGACACUUUAUAAAUGUGGACUAUUCCCUUUACAACACAAUAGUUAAAUCGGAGCAAAUCAAGAGCAAAUAUUAGAUUAGAUAUUAAAAUUGUGAUUCACUGUAGGUAAUUAUAAU
rnacentral:lncRNA from 1 species